rnacentral:rRNA from 1 species
CUACGGGCCGCAGCAGUCGCGAAAACUCCGCAAUGCACGAAAGUGUGACGGGGCUACCCCGAGUGCCAUCCGCUGAGGAUGGCUUUUCUUUGGUAUAACUAGCCAUUGGAAUAAGGAGAGGGCAAGACUGGUGUCAGCGGCCGCGGUAAUACCAGCUCUCCGAGUGGUAGGGAUGAUUAUUGGGCUUAAAGCGUCCGUAGCCGGCUUAGCAAGUUUCCUGUUAAACUCAGCGACUCAAUCGUUGGAUCGCGGGAAAUACUACUAGGCUAGGAGGCGGGAGAGGUCAACGGUACUUCUGGGGUAGGGGUGAAAUCCUAUAAUCCCGGGAGGACCACCAGUGGCGAAGGCUGUUGACUAGAACGCGCUCGACGGUGAGGGACGAAAGCUGGGGUAGCAAACCGGAUUAGAUACCCUAGUAGUC